rnacentral:rRNA from 1 species
AGAGUUUGAUCCUGGCUCAGAACGAACGCUGGCGGCGUGCUUAACACAUGCAAGUCGCGUGCGCAGUUGCCGUAGCAAUACGGUGAGGGNNCACGGCGCACGGGUGCGUAACACGUGGGCAAUCUGCCCUUUGAUGGGGAAUAACCCGCCGAAAGGCGGGCUAAUUCCGCAUAAGAUUCCCGGGACUUCGGUUCCGGGAUUGAAAGCAGCAAUGCGUCGAAGGAGGAGCCCGCGCCCGAUUAGCUAGUUGGUGAGGUAACGGCUCACCAAGGCUGUGAUCGGUAGCUGGUCUGAGAGGAUGAUCAGCCACACUGGAACUGAGACACGGUCCAGACUCCUACGGGAGGCAGCAGUGGGGAAUCUUGCACAAUGGGCGAAAGCCUGAUGCAGCGACGCCGCGUGGGGGAUGAAGCAUUUCGGUGUGUAAACCCCUUUCGACUGGGACGAAUGCCUCGCAAGAGGAGUGACGGUACCAGUAGAAGAAGCCCCGGCUAACUACGUGCCAGCAGCCGCGGUAAGACGUAGGGGGCCAGCGUUGUUCGGAAUUACUGGGUGUAAAGGGUUCGUAGGCGGUGCGGCAAGUUGGGAGUGAAAUCUUUGGGCUUAACCCAGAGGCUGCUUCCAAAACUGCUGUGCUCGAGUGUGAGAGAGGCGCGUGGAAUUGCAGGUGUAGCGGUGAAAUGCGUAGAUGUCUGCAGGAACACCCGUGGCGAAACGGCGCGCUGGAUCACUACUGACGCUGAGGAACGAAAGCUAGGGGAGCAAACAGGAUUAGAUACCCUAGUAGUCC